UACGUAGGGGGCAAGCGUUGUCCGGAAUCAUUGGGCGUAAAGAGCGUGUAGGCGGCCAGAUAAGUCCGCUGUGAAAUCUCGAGGCUCAACUUCGAGCUGUCGGUGGAAACUGUCUGGCUAGAGUCCGGAAGAGGAGAAUGGAAUUCCUGGUGUAGCGGUGAAAUGCGCAGAUAUCAGGAAGAACACCCGUGGCGAAGGCGGUUCUCUGGGCCGGUACUGACGCUGAGACGCGAAAGCGUGGGGAGCGAACAGG
rnacentral:rRNA from 1 species